rnacentral:rRNA from 1 species
GACGAACGCUGGCGGCGUGCUUAACACAUGCAAGUCGAACGGAAAGGCGCUGCUUUUGUGGGGUGCUCGAGUGGCGAACGGGUGUGUCACACGUGAGUAACCUGUCCUUGACUUUGGGAUAACUUCAGGAAACUGGGUCUAAUACCGGAUAGGAGCUCCUGCUGCUUGGUUGGUGUUGGAAAGUUUCGGCGGUUGGGGAUGGACUCGCGGCUUUUCAGCUUGUUGGUGGGGUAGUGGCUUACCAAGGCAUUGACGGGUAGCCGGCCUGAGAGGGUGACCGGCAACAUUGGGACUGAGAUACGGCCCAGACUCCUACGGGAGGCAGCAGUGGGGAAUAUUGCACAAUGGGCGGAAGCCUGAUGCAGCAACGCCGCGUGCGGGAUGACGGCCUUCGGGUUGUAAACUGCUUUCGCCUGUGACGAAGCGUGGGUGACGGUAAUGGGUAAAGAAGCACCGGCUAACUACGUG